rnacentral:tRNA from 1 species
GAGGGCAUGGCUCAGUGGUAGAGCAUGUGCUUAGCAUGCACAAGGUCCUGGGUUCAAUCCCCAGUACCUCUA